rnacentral:rRNA from 1 species
GAUGUUAAUUCCGUAUGCUCUUUGCGUCGUGGUUGUUGCUGGCCCUCUUGGGGGUAUGUGCACACCCACCAUUCUCAUCUCUCCACCUGUGCACUUCUUGUAGACUUGGAUUGACUUUCCGAGGCAACUCGGUCGGGAGGAUUGCUAGCACCAGUUGGCUUUCCUUGCAUUUCCAGGUCUAUGUUUUUCAUAUACCCCAUUGUAUGUAACAGAAUGUAACAUUGGGCCCUUGUGCCUAUAAAAACUAUACAACUUUCAGCAACGGAUCUCUUGGCUCUCGCAUCGAUGAAGAACGCAGCGAAAUGCGAUAAGUAAUGUGAAUUGCAGAAUUCAGUGAAUCAUCGAAUCUUUGAACGCACCUUGCGCUCCUUGGUAUUCCGAGGAGCAUGCCUGUUUGAGUGUCAUUAAAUUCUCAACCUUUAUCAGCUUUUGCUGAUGAUGGCUUGGAUAUGGGGGUUUAUUUUGCUGGCUUCUUCACAGAUGGUCAGCUCCCCUUAAAUGCAUUAGCCGGUGCCCCGCGUGGACUGUCUAUUGGUGUGAUAAUUAUCUACGCCGUGGACAUCUGCAAUCAUAUGGGUUUGCACUGCUUCCAACCGUCUGUUUAUUCAGACAAUAUAUGACAAUUUGACCUCAAAUCAGGUAGGACUACCCGCUGAACUUAAGCAUAUCAUAA